rnacentral:sRNA from 1 species
AAAAUCAUAUAUAUGAAAGUUGGCUAACUCUCUCCAUAUGAGUGACACAUCAUCACACAAGAAAAUGACAUGUGUCAUUCUACAUUAAUUAAAUAAAAA